AAAAAAAGCAGGGGGGUCUCUAAAAUAUGAUGUGUAGAGAAUGAAGGCAAAUCACAGACAGACACACCCUUUACAAAGAUUUACCUACAAACACAUCUCAAGAAGCCUGGGAGGACUUGUUACAGAAUGCAAACAGUUGUUCCCAAGUCACAUCUUGCUACUCCCAGAAGAGGUGAUGGAUGCUUAAAUGUCCUUAAUUUUUGCAUUUGCCAUUCCACCCACCUGGAAAGCCAGUCAGUUGUUCUUCCCUUCCUGUGAAUGCCUGCCCAUCCCUCCGGGCUCCGGUAAAUACUGCUACCUCUCUGACAGGCAUCAGUGUAGCUCACAUCACUCUCUGUGUCCUCAUUGUCUCCCUCACAACGUUGUCAUUUCAAUUAGCUGCUUGUGUGCUUCCCACAAGCCUUCCCAGUAGACUGAGCUUUAGGACUGCAGAAUCAUAUUUUUAUUUCUUACUCCAGGGCCUCCCCAGCCUCUCUAGGGAGAGGUUAAAACCUCAUUGGCGCAAGCCAAAGUUACCUCUGCUGCAGUCGGUUCAUGUCUACUCGUGUUCAGCAAGCAUGCUAUAAGGUGGUGCACAAGGCCUAUUUGCUGAGGGACAUCGAAGAGAAGGAUGUAGGCGAACCAGGAAGGUGGAGAUGUCAUCCUCCAGCCCCAUCUUUCUCCAGUCCCCAGUGAGCUGCACAACAUAAAGUCUGACCAUGCUGCCCUCUGAAAUGAACUUUCUUCGUGAAGCACCGCAUCCUCAUCCCACCAGUGACAGCAGAUAAGAGUAAAACUGUCCAAAGGGACCUGACAGCACUGACCAAAGGGGCAGAGGCUAGCCCGAGUCUCACUUUCAAGAUGUGUGCUGGUUAGUUU